AGUUUAGUGGUAGAAUUUACUUUCAAUGCCCUUAUGAUAGGUUAUAUUAAAGACUAAAUUCAUUUUAUGCUAAAGAAUUAAUAUGCUAAAGAAUUAGUAUUCUCACUUUAAAAUUUCAUAUCAAUUGUGUAUUUUCCCAUUAUAUUUUAUUAUAGUUGAAAGUUAGAAUUUUUAUUAAAUAAGUAUAUGUAAUAAUUGCUGUAUCUGAUAUAACAGUUUUUGUUUUCUACUAGUGUUUUUGAUAGAAAGGGAAUUGAAUUAUUGCAGAUUGGGGUUGAGGGAUAACAUUUAAGAAAACCUGCAGUUCUUGAAGAGGACCUACGAUAGGUUCUCAACAUCCACAUCAGGUGGCCUAAAACCUUCUGUACCUCCAGUUCCAGGUGAACAUUCUAUUAUGACAUCUGUGGGCACCAUGCAUGAACAUGGUGCACAUAUAUACCUAUAAACAAUUAAUUCAUACUUAUACAAAUAAACAGUUAAAAUAAGUUUAAAACUAUAGUUAAAAACUAUUACAGAUAGCUAUGUCCCUGACUUACCUUACAUCAUACUUAAAAAUGCACUUUCAAUUAAUUUCUGAAAACAAAUAUUGCAUGUCAAAGGGAAUAAAUACACCAUAAUAUGUUCUUGAGUAGAUCAUUUGAUAUAUAGUCAAAAUUUAAAAUAUUUUUGAAGGCUGGAGAGAUGACUCUGAGGUUAAGACCCCUGUCUGCUCUUCUAGAGGUCCUGACUUCAAUUCCCAGGAAUGACAUGGUGGCUCAUAACCAUCUAUGAUGGAAUAUGUUGCUUUCUUCUGGCCUAUAGACACAUACAAUCAGAACACUAUAUACAUAAUAAAUACUUUUUGAUGUGUUCCCUGUAUAGCAUAUAAACAAAUUUUGUUUCUAUUAGUGUUUUUGAUAGAAAUGGAAUUGAAUUAUUACACAUUGGGGUUAAGGUAAUACACAGAAGAGGUUCAAAAUAAAUAAAAUGCAUUCACAAGAUUCCAGAACUUGACACAUUGAUAUAAUUAUACCAGAGCUAUGUGAAACCAAUCUUUCUAUCUUUCUAUGUGCUCCAUAAUGUUCACACAGUACUGUAAUAAACUCUUCCAUACUUUUCUAUGUGGUCCCACAACAAUGGCUAUGAAUAUUUGCAAUUAUAUUAUUGGUUUGCAGGCAAUUAUCUACAACAUUAUACGGGAUCAAUAAAUGUGUAUCCUGAGGGAUAUUUAGGAGAAAAGAUUGAAGAAACAAUUG
rnacentral:lncRNA from 1 species